GCUCACGCCAGCACGCCAUCAAAGUUUUGCAGCUCAGAACUAAACGCUAAAUAUUUGGACUAAAAGACAUUGGGGACAAGGAAAAGAUCCAAGAGGCUAGCGGGCUUACUUCAUGCAGCGGGCGUGCAGGUGGCAGCGGGACGUGGGCAGGCGGACCAGACAGGACGGGAAGGCCAGCAGCAGUGUGUGACUGGCACGGUCUAAGGUCAGAGACAGCAGCUGGCGAGCCUGAGCAGAGUCCUCGCCACACCUGCGGAGACAAAGUCCAGAUGGAGCCCUUGUUGAGAACCCUGAUCUAAACCCAUACGUUGGCCUCUCGAAAAGGAGGAAGUGGACAACAGUACCUGCGAAUAGCGCCACGUUGGCGUGGCGUGGGUCGUACGGGCAGCGCGCCAUCCCGCUGACGGUCUCCCCCACCAUUUCCAGGGUGUCUCUCUGCAGCGGGGAGGACAGGACCACGGCUCAGGAGGAGGCAGGCAAACAC